GUGGGGAAUAUUGGACAAUGGGCGAAAGCCUGAUCCAGCCAUGCCGCGUGUGUGAAGAAGGUCUUCGGAUUGUAAAGCACUUUAAGUUGGGAGGAAGGGCAGUAAGUUAAUACCUUGCUGUUUUGACGUUACCGACAGAAUAAGCACCGGCUAACUUCGUGCCAGCAGCCGCGGUAAUACGAAGGGUGCAAGCGUUAAUCGGAAUUACUGGGCGUAAAGCGCGCGUAGGUGGUUUUGUAAGUUGGAGGUGAAAUCCCCGGGCUCAACCUGAGAACUGCCUCCAAAACUGCAUGACUAGAGUACGGUAGAGGGUAGUGGAAUUUCCUGUGUAGCGGUGAAAUGCGUAGAUAUAGGAAGGAACACCAGUGGCGAAGGCGACUACCUGGACUGAUACUGACACUGAGGUGCGAAAGCGUGGGGAGCAAACAGGAUUAGAAACCCGUGUAGUCC
rnacentral:rRNA from 1 species